rnacentral:piRNA from 1 species
GGGGUAAGGUCACCGAUCAACAGGAUCCCA